AGUGAACGCUGGCGGUAGGCCUAACACAUGCAAGUCGAACGGCAGCACAGGAGAGCUUGCUCUCUGGGUGGCGAGUGGCGGACGGGUGAGGAAUACAUCGGAAUCUACUCUGUCGUGGGGGAUAACGUAGGGAAACUUACGCUAAUACCGCAUACGACCUACGGGUGAAAGCAGGGGAUCUUCGGACCUUGCGCGAUUGAAUGAGCCGAUGUCGGAUUAGCUAGUUGGCGGGGUAAAGGCCCACCAAGGCGACGAUCCGUAGCUGGUCUGAGAGGAUGAUCAGCCACACUGGGACUGAGACACGGUCCAGACUCCUACGGGAGGCAGCAGUGGGGAAUAUUGGACAAUGAGCGCAAGCCUGAUCCAGCCAUACCGCGUGGGUGAAGAAGGCCUUCGGGUUGUAAAGCCCUUUUGUUGGGAAAGAAAUCCAGCUGGCUAAUACCCGGUUGGGAUGACGGUACCCAAAGAAUAAGCACCGGCUAACUUCGUGCCAGCAGCCGCCGUAA
rnacentral:rRNA from 1 species